GGCUACCUAGCUCAGUGGUUAGAGCAACCUGUCUAGUUUGCAGGAGGUCCCAGGUUCAAUUCCUGGUGUAGUCA